rnacentral:rRNA from 1 species
AUUGAACGCUGGCGGCAGGCCUAACACAUGCAAGUCGAGCGGGGUUUUCGGACCUAGCGGCGGACGGGUGAGUAAUGCGUAGGAAGCUACCCGACAGAGGGGGAUACCAGUUGGAAACGACUGUUAAUACCGCAUAAUGUCUACGGACCAAAGUGUGGGACCUUCGGGCCACAUGCUGUCGGAUGUGCCUACGUGGGAUUAGCUAGUUGGUGAGGUAAUGGCUCACCAAGGCGACGAUCCCUAGCUGGUUUGAGAGGAUGAUCAGCCACACUGGAACUGAGACACGGUCCAGACUCCUACGGGAGGCAGCAGUGGGGAAUAUUGGACAAUGGGCGCAAGCCUGAACCAGCCAUGCCGCGUGCAGGAAGACGGUCCUAUGGAUUGUAAACUGCUUUUAUACAGGAAGAAACCCUCCCACGUGUGGGAGCUUGACGGUACUGUAGGAAUAAGGAUCGGCUAACUCCGUGCCAGCAGCCGCGGUAAUGUGACU